rnacentral:tRNA from 2 species
GGGCCUAUAGCUCAAUAGGCAGAGCAGCGGACUUUUAAUCCGCGGGUUCUGGGUUCGAUUCCCAGUGGGCCCA